AGAGGAAGGAGAAGUCGUAACAAGGUUUCCGUAGGUGAACCUGCGGAAGGAUCAUUGUCGAAACCUGCCCCAGCAGAACGACCCGUGAACUCUUUAAAACACCGGAGGGUGCGUGCCUUGAGUGCGCUCCCCUCCCUUCUUCAUCAGGCGCGGGCUUGGGCUCGUGCUUUGUUGAGGAACAACCAACCCCGGGCGCAGCAUGCGCCAAGGAAAACUAACAAAGAGAGCACGAUCUCAGGCCCCAUACAUGGUGUGCUUGGGACGCGGUGCCUUCUCUCAAAUUAUCUAAAACGACUCUCGGCAACGGAUAUCUCGGCUCUCGCAUCGAUGAARAACGCAGC
rnacentral:misc_RNA from 1 species